rnacentral:rRNA from 1 species
CGCGGCGGCACGCCUAACACAUGCAAGUCGAACGAAGUAGCAAUACUAGUGGCGAACGGGUGAGUAUAAUGUGGGUAUCUGCCUUUUGGUUGGAAUAACACGGGGAAACUUGUGCUAAUACUGAAUAAGCCUUUACAGGGAAAGCUUAGCGCCAAAAGAUGAGCCCACACUUGAUUAGCUAGUUGGUAAGGUAAUGGCUUACCAAGGCUUCGAUCAAUAGCUGAUCUGAGAGGAUGAUCAGCCACAUUGGGACUGAGACACGGCCCAGACUCCUACGGGAGGCAGCAGUGGGGAAUCUUGCACAAUGGGGGAAACCCUGAUGCAGCGAUGCCGCGUGAGUGAAGAAGGCCUUUGGGUUGUAAAGCUCUUUCGUCGGGGAAGAAAAUGACUGUACCCGAAUAAGAAGGUCCGGCUAACUUCGUGCCAGCAGCCGCGGUAAUACGAAGGGACCUAGCGUAGUUCGGAAUUACUGGGCUUAAAGAGCUCGUAGGUGGUUAAGAAAGUUGGUGGUGAAAUCCCAAGGCUUAACCUUGGAACUGCCACCAAAACUUUUUAACUAGAGUAUGAUAGAGGUAAGUGGAAUUUCUAGUGUAGAGGUGAAAUUCGUAGAUAUUAGAAAGAACACCAAUUGCGAAGGCAACUUUCUGGAUCAUUACUGACACUGAGGAGCGAAAGCAUGGGUAGCGAAGAGGAUUAGAUACCCUCGUAGUCCAUGCUGUAAACGAUGUGUGCUAGACGUUGGAAAUUUAGUUUUCAGUGUCGCAGCAAAAGCAUUAAGCACACCUC